rnacentral:rRNA from 1 species
GCUUACUGCCAUAUCACGUUGAAAGCACCGGUUCUCGUCCGAUCAAGUACUAACGAGCCUAGUUAGUACUUAGAUGGGUGACCGCUUGGGAAACCUAGGUGCUGUAAGCA